rnacentral:rRNA from 1 species
AACGAACGCUGGCGGCAUGCCUAACACAUGCAAGUCGAACGAGACCUUCUGGUCUAGUGGCGCACGGGUGCGUAACGCGUGGGAACCUGCCCUUAGGUUCUGAAUAACUCCCCGAAAGGGGUGCUAAUACCGGAUAAUGUCUUCGGACCAAAGAUUUAUCGCCUUUGGAUGGGCCCGCGUUGGAUUAGCUAGUUGGUAGGGUAAAAGCCUACCAAGGCGACGAUCCAUAGCUGGUCUGAGAGGAUGAUCAGCCACACUGGGACUGAGACACGGCCCAGACUCCUACGGGAGGCAGCAGUGGGGAAUAUUGGACAAUGGGCGAAAGCCUGAUCCAGCAAUGCCGCGUGAGUGAUGAAGGCCUUAGGGUUGUAAAGCUCUUUUACCCGGGAUGAUAAUGACAGUACCGGGAGAAUAAGCUCCGGCUAACUCCGUG